rnacentral:RNase_P_RNA from 12 species
CGCAAUGCGUUAAAGCCCGAAAAAGCCUCAAAACCACCACCACCACAAAUCGUGUUAUAUAUAUAAAAAAAAAAAAAAAUAAAAUAGAAAAAAUAUACUUUAUUGGUUUUCCUUGUUUUUCUUUUUGGACUGAAAUUGGGUUGUCAUGCUGAACUUUCUAUGGAAAGCUCUGGGUUGUGCAGCUUCAAAACCUGUGGAGGAUGACCGAAAUGCUGCA